rnacentral:misc_RNA from 1 species
GCCCGACUUGAGUGGAGCACAUUUUGUAGUUUUUGGAAUGGGAAAAGCAUUGGCAAAAACUACAAAAUUGCGGGAACGGAAGGCGGAAACAGCU